rnacentral:rRNA from 1 species
GAAGGGGGCUAGCGUUGUUCGGAAUUACUGGGCGUAAAGCGCGUGUAGGCGGUUGUCCAAGUUGGAUGUGAAAGCCUUGAGCUUAACUCAAGAAAUGCAUUCAGGACUGGAUGACUAGAGGACCGGAGAGGAUAGUGGAAUUCCCAGUGUAGUGGUGAAAUACGUAGAGAUUGGGAAGAACACCAGUGGCGAAGGCGGCUAUCUGGACGGUUUCUGACGCUAAGACACGAAAGCGUGGGGAGCAAACAGGAUUAGAUACCCUGGUAGUCCACGCCGUAAACGAUGGGUGCUAGACGUUGGCGAGCUUGCUCGUCAGUGUCGCAGCUAACGCGUUAAGCACCCCGCCUGGGGAGUACGGCCGCAAGGUUG